CACAUAAACACACACACAAGUGUCAACACACAGGCAUAAAGGCACAAAUGCACCCACACACACACAUGCACACACACUUUUGAAUAUGUAUGGUAAUCUGUUUACAGACAAUAAUUUUGUGAAUUUGUCACUUCUUUCAAGCAUUCAUUAAUCAUGAUUAGCUGGAUCGGACACUGUGGCAAACACGCCUACCACAGGCCACCGAAGUGGCUUUCUUUGGGGCCCUCCAGCACAGAGACACAGGGAGAUGAUGUUAAAACAGUCCAGAUUUAUUUUCAAGAGGGUUUGGCAAGAUGGUAACGCCAAAGUGAGCAGAUGUAACCCAGUCAUGACCGAAGCUCCCCGUGUGAGUGGGGAUGGCAGAUUUAACCUGUGCGCAGUGAUUACCUCACUACGCACAGGUGCAGCCACUCCUGUUCCUGGGCCCAAUUAGCCUGGCCAAUUAUCUAAUUCUUAACCAAUUAUCCAAUUGGCCAGGUCUAAUUAGCUUGACCCAGGGCAGGUGUGGCUGCUUAAACCAGCCAUCCCCACACCACAGACACCUUCCCUGAGGAGUUUACAGUCUCACUGUACAACACUCCUCGUCAGAUAUCAUCCAGGGACAUCCUUCCCUCAGCUGCUCCACUGCACUGCUGUCCUUCUGCCCGUCAUUCAGCCUGUAGGGCCCCAACAUGUCCUCAAAUCUCUUCAUACUGGAGGGAGAGGACAAGAGAGGAGAAAUAUGGAAGAACGGUAGGACAGAGGAGUCAGAACAGUGAUGCCCUACUGUUCAGUCUGCGGCUUCCCGCCAAUGUCAGGAAGCACCUCGACAUCAUGGAAACCGAGGCGGAACUUGCUGAUGAGGGCCAAUAUCCUGGAAGAGAGACAAUGGUCAUGUGACCAUGCCCCAUUUUUUUCCAAUGAAGAGAGUUAUUUUAGGACAGAAUUGUACAGAUUCCUUUUUGUGGUUGGCUACUGUAUGGAUUAAAAUGUAAUGUUACAGAAGAGUGAUAUUCCAUUGGCUGUCUUGAAUGCAAAAUGUUCAUAAAUAGCAACUUACAAUGAUGAUACAAAUGACUAAAUCAUUGAAAGAGACAUACACCCAGUGGAUAUGUCUGGGACCUACCUGUGAAACUCUGUAAACAGUAAUUUCCCCCUCCCCCAGUAAAGCAUUGUUUCCCUUAUAAUCUCCUGGCCAGUCCUAUUAACCUAUCUGACCAGAUAACCCAGAUGGACCACCGGCAAUGAACUGGCACCAGCUGAUUGGUUUAUUGCUGACACAUGGUAGGAGGGGGAGUGGUGGGAUUCACACAAUCACAGGAAGGUAUACCAGUCAUGUUCGUAACAGUCCUAAGAAACUGGACAAAUUCCUUCCUCCUUUGACUACUCAGAAUGCGCCACUGGGGAAGAGGG